UACGUAGGGUGCGAGCGUUAAUCGGAAUUACUGGGCGUAAAGCGUGCGCAGGCGGUUGUGUAAGACAGAUGUGAAAUCCCCGGGCUCAACCCUGGGAACUGCAUUUGUGACUGCACGGCUCGAGUGCGGCAGAGGGGGAUGGAAUUCCGCGUGUAGCAGUGAAAUGCGUAGAUAUGCGGAGGAACACCGAUGGCGAAGGCAAUCCCCUGGGCCUGCACUGACGCUCAUGCACGAAAGCGUGGGGAGCGAACAGG
rnacentral:rRNA from 1 species